UCUUAUGUGUUUGGGUUAGUUCUACUGUUGUUGAAAGCUUUAAAAGCUUUGUUUGAGAAUUUUUGCUGCUAUUUGUUACUUUUGUAGCUGUGUGCUAUUGGACCUGUUUUGUUGGUUGAACUUCUGUGUAGGAAGUAGUUACUACGUAAGGGUAGUUAGUGUUGAGUUAGUAAUGGCUUCUUUAGAAGACUUCCUAAAGGAACCUUCAGAAGAGUUACUUGAGGUUUUUACAAAGGAUCAACUUUUGCAGUUGUCUUCUCAUUAUGAUAUUCCCAUCACAAGUAGUGAGAAGCGACUGAAGGAUAGUGUGAAGGAAAUCAUUAGAAGUGUUUUGAUUGACAAUGGUGUCUUAAAAGUUAAGCAGGUUUCCCCACAAUCCAUGACCGCUCCUUUGUCUGAAGCUGCAAUUGAGCUUAGGCUCAGAGAGCUAGCUUUUCAGGAGAAGCAGCUAGAUGUUAAUAUAAAAAUAAGAGAGAAGGAAAUGCAUCUAGCACAUGAACUGGCUCUUAAAGAGUUGGAAUUAAAAGCUGCUGCUUUAUCUCAAAGAGGUGAUACCUCUCCGUUUGAUGUUGGUAGACAUAUUAAGUUAGUACCUCCUUUUUCUGAGAAAGAUGUUGAGAGAUAUUUUUCUCAUUUUGAACGGGUGGCAACCACAUCAAAGUGGCCUAGAACUAUGUGGACUUUGCUUUUACAAAGUAUCUUGGUGGGAAGAGCUCAGGAAGCUUAUUCCGCUCUAAGUCUUGAGAAGAGUGCUAAUUAUGAUGAGGUUAAAACAGCUAUUUUGAAGGCAUAUGUAACAGGUGUUAUAUAAAUUUAUUUUCACACAAAAUCCCUCCCUUUGUUAUUAUAAAUUAUUUUAUAUUUAUGUAAUUAUUUUUAUAUUCUGGGAAUUUUUCUUUCAUCUGGAAUGUUAUUUGAGCUGUUUCUAUCCUUGUAUGUAAAUUUUUCAGUGUUAUUUUGUAAUUGUUAAAAUAUAGUACGUGGCCCCUUUAAGAGUUAGGUUCCGGUUGUUUUCCUUCAGUUCGCGGUAAGCGCAGCUGGGGAAAGGUCAAUGUUGAAAUUGUGGAGAAAGGCCACGGAUUGACACUUUUUUUCAUAAAUUUUCCUUUUUAUUCAUUCAG